rnacentral:rRNA from 1 species
GAUGAACGCUAGCUACAGGCUUAACACAUGCAAGUCGAGGGGAAACGACAUUGGAAGCUUGCUUCCUUUGGGCGUCGACCGGCGCACGGGUGAGUAACGCGUAUCCAACCUUCCCGCAAGUAAGGGAUAACCCGUAGAAAUGCGGCCUAAUACCUUAUGUUUUCCUUAGAGGGCAUCUGAUGAGGAACAAAGAUCCGUCGCUUGCGGAUGGGGAUGCGCCUGAUUAGUUAGUCGGCGGGGUAACGGCCCACCGAGACGACGAUCAGUAGGGGUUCUGAGAGGAAAGUCCCCCACAUUGGAACUGAGACACGGUCCAAAACUCCUACGGGAGGCAGCAGUGAGGAAUAUUGGUCAAUGGGCGUGAGCCUGAACCAGCCAAGUAGCGUGCGGGACGAAGGCCCUAUGGGUUGUAAACCGCUUUUUCAGGGGGGAUAAAGUGAGUGACGUGUCAUUCAUUGCAGGUACCCUGCGAAUAAGGACCGGCUAAUUCCGUG